GCUGAUUUUGCUCAAUUUCUAAGUCACUAUCCAACAAUCUUAAAAACCACAGCCAAGUAUCAUUUGUUUCACCCUCAACAAUGGCAUAAGAGAUUGGAUAAAUGUUGUUGUUUGGAUCCAGACCAACUGCAGCUAACAAUUGACCCCUAUUCUGCCCUUUCAGAAAACAACCAUCAACCCACACAACAGGCCUACAUGCAGCUUUAAACCCUUCUUUAAGUGAUGAAAAACAAAUAUAGAGCCU
rnacentral:lncRNA from 1 species